CUAAACUCUACUGUUUUUAAAUGAGCUAAACCGUAGCGUAGCCAGUAACAGCAACACGAAAUCCUUUUGCGGUUUUGCCCGCUAGGCUACAAGUACACACCUAUUAAUUGGUAGUAGUACGUUGAGCAUGCACAGGUGACUAAGAGCAACUCCAAGAGCUCCUUUAAAUUACCCCUAAAACCUUAAUUAGGAAAAAUAGGAAAAAAAAUUGCUCCAACAAAUCCCUCAAACCUCCAGCAAAUUUGCAUCCACCGCAUCCGUAGCUAUUCCGCCCGCAAAUUUGUGCGGCGCUCCUCCUCCCCCAAUCCUCCCACGCGUGCCCGCCACUGCCAUUCGCGCCUCUUUUUUUUCGCGCGCGCCAGGCCUUUCCCUAGCAGCGGUGGCAGCGGCGGUGCCAGACCUUCUCGAGCGGCGGCGGCAGCAACGGUGCUAGGCUUUCUCGAGCGGCGGCAGUGUGGCGGCGCCAAGCCUUCCCGAGCGGCAGCGUCCCGAGCGGUGGCGUUCCGAGCAGCAGCGGCAGUGGCGGUGCAAGGCCUUCCCGAGCGGCGGUGCCAAGCCCUCCCGAGCGGCAUCCCCAAUUGGCCCCGAACACCAUCGGAGCUCGCGGGCAAGGCCACUGCCGGCGGAGCUCGUGCUGGGAGCGAAGAGUCGGGGGAUGGUGCGGGCCACCCCCGAAGCAAGGCUGCCGCCGGCGGAGUUCAUCCUGUGAUGCUUCCAAUUUCUCCCUCAAGCUUCUGAUAUUGCAAAAUGGUAGGCUGGUGGCCGAUGACAUCCCCUUUUGCUCUCCAAUCUAACUCCACAACACCACAAAUGGAUUCCCGAUGUUAAGGGGAUCCGAUUCCACAAGUCACCGGCGAUAAUCCUUGCUCCUAGCGUCGGCAGCUCGAGCUCCAGAGCUUCGGCCAUGGCGGAGCUUGUGAGGAGGGAGCCGCAGGAAGGGGCCAAGCUAGUGAAGACGCGGGUGGGGAGGAGGGAGGGGAGCGGCAAGGGGGCCGGCACUGGCGAGGAGCUGAGGACACGGACGGAGGGUGUGGGCGGCGCUCGUGCUCGGGGCCUCGGGCCAGGACGAGCGGCGGUGGGCCUGCGGCUAUCGGCAAGGAAGGAACGAGAGAAAGUAGUUACGAGAGGAAAAAAGAUAAGAUGGGAGGUUGACAAGCAGGGUCCACCAUCGGGAUGAAUAUAUUGGGGCUAGUUAUGAGUGAUCUGCUGUGGAGUGAUAUGUUUUUUGGGAAAAGAUAUUUUGGAAGAGCCCCAAUACAUAAUUUUAAGGAAGAAUUUUUUAGGAAACUCUUGGAGUUGCUCUAAGGCCGCGUUUAGUUCCCAGGGCUAAAGUUUGGUUCUGUCAUAUCGAAUGCUUAGAUACUAAUUAGGAGUAUUAAAUAUAGACUAAUUACAAAACCUAAUUAGUCCAUGAUUUGACAAUGUGAUACUACGGUAAACAUGUUCUAAUCAUGAAUUAAUUAGGCUUAAUAGAUUCGUCUCGCGAAUUAGCCUCCAUCUAUGUAAUUAGUUUUAUAAUUAACUCAUAUUUAGUUCUCCUAAUUAGUCUUCGAAGGUGUGAUGUGAUAUAGACUAAACUUUAGCUAAAAAAUCCAAGCACCCCUAAACUGCAUGUAGUUCUGUGUAGGCUGGAGGCUGCUGGUGACUGUAACUGUAAUUCAUCGGCAGAUUGUACAGUGCACGGUGGGGGCAACGUAGGGACCAGGCAAGCCGACGCGAACCGACCAACCUGACCAAUGUACCU
rnacentral:lncRNA from 1 species